AGCCAGUAGCUCCUCCCACUUCCCGUGGUUUUCGGUUGAACCGAAACCUGGCCGUUGGCUGAGCGAGCGCGGGGUGUUUGGGAUGCGGCACGGCGAGGGGGAGCAGGCUUGGCUCGGGCGUAGGGAAUUGGUUUUUUUGUUUUAGCUAUCCAGGUUGUGACUGGUUUACAUAAUUACACGAUUAAGCCAUCAUUGUAGGAAAGGCUUUGCAGGAGAAAAAUGUCUUAACUGGAGGUCUUUGAGACAGAAAAACCCUGCCUCAGCCCUUGGGUCCUGAGAGUCGCGUUUCUUCUCCCCUUCGCUUAAAUAUGUAAACCAGAAUCAUUAUGUUUGGUUCAUGGAACGGAGGAAAAAAAUCCGUGUGCAGGGUCGAGACUGUCGUGGCGGAAGCCGCAGCACCCGGGAGGCAGAAAGUUGAGCUCAGACGGUCACCCGCCAAUUACCUUCUGCUGUGCGGCCCAGUUCCUAACAGGCCAUGAACAGGAAAAGGAAACCUGGACACAGGCACGUAUGAGGGAAGACAAUGUGGAGAGGCAAGGAGAAGAUGGCCACCUGCAAGCCAAGGAGAGAGGCCUGGAACACACUCUUACUUCAUGGCCCUCAGAAGGAGGCCACCCUGUCAACACCUUGAGCUCAGACUUCAGCCUCCAGAGCUGUGAAAAAAGAAAUUUUUGUUGUUUAAGCCCCUCAGUUUGGGGUAAUUUCUUAUGGUGGCCCUAGCCAAUGAAUACAGGUCCCAAAUAACUCUUCA
rnacentral:lncRNA from 1 species